GGAGGGUGAGAGAUGCUGAAACGACAACACGCUUUUUUUCCCCCCUCCCCAUGGCUACCAGGGAGUUGACAGGAAAAGACAGACCUGCCCUGUUUCAACACCUGGAAAUGGGAGUUUCACACUGAACAAACACUUAGUAACUAUAAAAUGAACGAGGAACUACACCUCCAGGCAGGCUCCUGCAGUAACUUCCUUGUAGAAAUCCCCCAAAUCCCAAGUGCUCGUAGGAGCAAGGGACUGAACCUCUCGGGAAGACACCACCAGCAGCUUGUGAUAGAGAUUUUCUCUUCUUCCUCUAGUGUGUGUGUGUACUCCCAUCAGCCGUGUUGGUAGAAGUACAUUUCUUGAGAACAUUUUAUUGACGUAAAAUUGUACCAAUUCCUUUAUAUUUUCUCCAGUGAAAUGGUGAACAUCAGCCUGGAGUUCAUGGAGUUCCCAUCGAUGGAUGCAGCCCUUCGGACAACAGAUUAAAAAGUCACUUCACUGAGAUCAGCAAAAAGGCCAUUCAGGAUCAGCUCCAUGGUGUAUGAGGAACCAAAGUUCAGCAGAGUUCAAUUUCCCCACUUCAGCAAGGGCAGGGCAACUUCAGCCCACCCUAGCGCUUCCUCUUGAGCCCUUCACCUUGAUCCUCUGCAUCACUUGACAACUCUAAACAGUAUCCUUUGAAACAAACAAAUUUUUCAACUAGUUUUGGUCAUAAAUAUGAUGUGCUUCACUGAACCUGUCCAGGAUGAAGCUGGGAAGCAAUAGGGAUCCUAGCACUCAGGAUUUCUCUGGAUGAAAAGUAUUUGCAUAAGCAUUAUGAGACUUGGGUCGCAUUUCCGCCCAUCCUUAAUCUUCUUGCAAGUGUAGAUGUGUUAUCUAAUAAAUUUAAACAAGUACAACCUUUCUAGUACAGAUAAGCUGAUUGCAAAAUUUUUAUCUCAGGGAAGACAAUUAAAAGAGAACUCCAGGUCUUUUUUUCUUUUCUUUUAAAUCUGGAGUUUCAGUUAUAUGAAUUGCUAAAUGUGUCUGAGAAUGUGAAGGUAUACACAAACCCUUCUAAACUUAUUUACAUCUAAGAAGAGUUGAGAGCGGUUGUAACCUCACAGGUUCUGAGAAUGGUAUUGCUUUGGGCUUUUUGAAGAGGAAGGAGAGAAGGGAAAUAUACUGAUAUCCAGGUAGCAUUAUUUAAAGUAAAAUAGAUGAAUAGCAUCUACCUCCUCCCUCAAAUGUAUACUAGAUAGGUCCCUACAGGGUAAAUAGUCUUGGCCACUUUCCGUUAUGCUAAAUAAUAUAGGUUUCAGCUCUUCCUUUUUCAUCAAUAAGAAAUAAUAACUGACAAGAAGGUUAAUUCAAGGAAAAAGCAAAUUAAUCCAGCCAUGUUUUGCUCUGAACUAUGCUGCUGCACUCCUACGGUAACCCCAACCAAGAGCAAAAUUUGGCUUGUGGUAUCUUUUCCCUCUAAAUGUCUCAUUCUGACCAUACCAUACAACUAUUCUAUUUUCUGGUUAAACAUUACACAGAGUGAGUUAAUUUCUGCUUCAGCUAAUUUAGCUAUCCUAAAUGCAAAUGCUUCCUGUACUUAUGAAUACAAUCUGUUCAUAGUGAAUAGUUUUGAAGAUUUGGAUGAGUUAAAACAGCAACAGUAUCCAUGUGGGACCAAUCUUCCUUGGACAACUCUUAUGCUUUGAUUCAUAAAUUCUUUCCAUAGGAAAUAUCUGUGGAAAAUCUCCAAAACAUCCAGAAAUGCACAACUCAGUUGCUUGAGUUAUUAGGACUCCUUAAUGCUUAUUGCUUCUCCUUUAUUUCUUGCCUUUAUAUAAGCAUUGACUCUUGGGUUCACAUGAGACCCCUUUUUGCUUAUUUUCCAUUAUUAUAGAAUGUGUGUUUUUAAUAACUGCAAUAACAUCCGUCAUUAGUACUAUCACAUGAACCUAUUAAAAAACAACUUCCAACUCCACAAUAUCUAAUUUCUGCAUCUAAUGGGUGUGCUAAGGCAGCCCUUCACCUGCUGUUACCGUUCUGCACGUCUGACUUACUUUGUGGAACGAAGACUCAGUUGCUCGAUUACGGAACAAGCAUACCAUUAUCUGGCUUAGAGUACAGAAGUUCUUGAAAAAGCACUCAGCCUUGUGAAUUGGGAUGGUGACAGUGGUGGGAGUGCAACAGUAAACCUGCAAACAAACUUCUGAGACCCAUGGCAUUCAUGAUCCAGAAAAAAUGGAGCAGAAGAGCAAAGGGGGCGAGUAUGGCUACUGGGAUGCCAGAAUGUGCCCAGUUUGUCACAGACAUUGGAGGCUAAAGGAUUUUUUUCCACUCCAACAGUAAAUUUUGGAAGUGUGAGCCUGUGCUCAGUUGCCCAGAGCAGAGAGCUUAAGCAUACCUGGGCAGUUUUCUGCUCAUCUCUGGCAAUUUGUCAUGGACUUCUGCCAGAGGAGUUCGACUCUUUACACUAGAUCUUGCAGAGACUCUUUGUGGUAGCCCCUGCCCAUCCAGCCUCUGGUGCAGCAGUGCCAGGUGUUGCCUUGACAUGACAAGGAGUUCUCCUGCAGCUGAGUCUAGUUCUACCAACCUUGCUUGUGAUGUGGUCCCACCAAAGGAGUCCAAGUCUUUGCUGUAUUAAAACUCACAUCGACUUUAUAAGAACUUUAGGGAACUGACAGCAAAUUGCAGCUAGUCAAAAGAAAGAAGAGGAAACUAGCACUUUUGGUGUCCAUGUGGGUCCAGGAAUAAAGUUUUAAGUCCUGAUGGCACCUUAUUAAAAUCUCUUGUCAGUCAAAGAAAACAGCAAUGGCUUAAGCCCUUUUCAGAAAGCAUUUGUCCUCUGAUGUUUGCAUUUGACAGACUCCAGUUUACUCAGUAUUUCUUAUCUCUUAUUUAUUUUCCACCUUCCUGAAAUGGUAUCUCUUCCUCAUGAUUCUACUGCUCAACACUCAGGCAGGUUCAGGCAUACAAGUUAAUACCCAGUGGAUGCUGCAGCCCUCAUCUCCAAGCAGCAUUUUUCUCAUGCUUUGUACAAUCCUUGACUGGCCACUCCUCUUCAGGUUAGACCAAUUAUUGCAAAUAUCAUCGGAUUUCUCACCUCCCAGACCAAGACAAGACUGUAGCUCAUUCUUCCUCUUAGCAGGAAUGCUGUGGCAGCAGAAUUCAUUGGGUAAGCAUUCUGUGGCUUUCUUUUAAAAACCAAAUUACUCAUAUGCAGAGUAUGUCUAGAGUGGAAAACCGCCAAAGAUAGGAGUCCUUUUUCAGAUCUAGCUGUGCCAGUUGAAGAAGAUGAUCUUUCCAGCUGCCUCUCAACCUUGCCAGAGGUUACAGCAAGAUGACCUGCUAGUGAGUGAGUGCGCUUCAGGCAAAAUGCGUGAAGAUGACUUUAGAUGCUUAAAUAUUUAGUCUUUGUUCACUCAGUUUAUCCUGACUUAAAUAGAUUUAUGAGACUUCAGCAGCUCUGUGAGUGGCUCCCAUGAUGCUGAGCCACAAGUCAGAGGGGACAGUAAUCUGUAAUGUGGGUAGUAAGUCUCCAGGUAGGAGUGGGAUAUUAGUAGUAACCUUUUCAACUGGCAGGGCAAUAUGCAAGACAGAACAUGUUUCCACAGUUCUGGAAUAACACAAAUAUUCUUUGUCAUCAAUAUAGCUUCUUCCUUUCCCUCCUCAGGUUGCCCGAGCAGAGUAAGCAACUUUAUACAGUAUCAUCACAUUUGCAGGCCCUGGUCCUCCUGGGGGACCUUCAGUCACCUCAACAUCUGCUGGAGGGACAACACAGCAGGACAGUAAGCAAUCCAGGAGGUUCCUGGAGAUCAUGAAUGACAACUUCCUCCUCCAAAUGAUAGAGGAGCCAAUGAGGAGAUAUGUUCUGCCAGAUGUCAUAUUCACCAGCAAGGAGCAGCUCCUUGGAUAUGUGAAGAUCAAAGUCAGCCUUGGCUGAAGAGACCAUGAGAUGGUAGAGUUCAGGAUCCUGAGGGCACGGACAAGGGUGAAAAACAAGCUCAUGACACUGGACUUCAGGAGAGCAGACUUUGGCAUUUUCAAAGACCUGCUGGGAGAAGUCCUGUGUGAUGAGGCCCUGGAGGGAAGGGAGGCCCAAGAAAGCUGGAUAAUAUUCAAGGAUUGUCUCCUCCAAGCUCGAGAAUGGUCCACUCCAAUGAUUUCCAAAAAUGCCAGGAGGCCUGUGUGGAUGAACAAAUAGCUCCUAGCUAAACUCAAACACAAAAAGCAUACAGAGGGUGGAGACAAGGAUGGGUAACCUGGGAGGAAUAUGGAGACAUAUUAUGAGCAUCCAGGGACAAUGCUGGGAAGCCAAAGCCCAAAUGUAACUGAAUCUAAUGAGGGAUGUCAAAGAUAAGAAGACAGGCUUCUAUAAGUACACAGGUGACAAACGGAAGGCUAAGAAAAAUGCAGGCCUAUUGUUCAACGAGAUUGGGGACCUGGUGACACAGGACGUGGAAAAGGCUGAUGUAUUGAAUGCCUCUUUUGCCUCAGAGCAAGGCCAGCCUUCAGGAAUCCCAAGUCCCAUAGACCAGAGGGAAAGGCUGGAAAACCAAAGAUGUAACCUUAGUGGAGAGAGUCAGGUCAGGGAACACUUAAGCAAACUGGACAUAUAAACUGGCUCAUGGGCCACAACAGGAUGCACACAAGUGCUGAGGGAGCUGGCAGAUGUCAUUGUAAGACCAUUUUCAAUAAUUAUCUUUCAUAAGUUACUGUGAUUGGGAGAAGUUCCUGAAGACUAGGGGAAAGCAAAUACUACUCCUGUCAUCAAGAGGGUCAAGGAGGAAGACCCAGGGAACUAUUUCCAGGCACAUUAAGAACAAGAAAAUCAUCAGGAGUAGUUAGCACGGCUUCACCAAGGGGAAUAUGUAGAAGGCUGAACUUUAAUUUCUUCCAGGUUAUGAACAAGUUAAAAAAAUAAAAA